GCUCUUUUUCUGCGAGGAGCAAACGCCCGCCCGCAGCUAAGGUUCAGAAAUUUGCCACACUGUAUCAGAAACAGAUCCAGCCUUCAGCGAGGCCAAGGUCCUGGCGGCGCAGGCCCCAGCUCUGGAGACUUUGCAGCCCACCAGGGGGCCACGGAGGGUGAGGCUCCGGCCAGAGGUCAAGGCUGCCCAGGACGCUGCCAAUGAGCUCUGUCCUGCCACUGGCGGGACGUUAGGAACCCCGCCACCCAAACCGCCCACAUUUCCAUUUCAAAGACCUUCCCACCCCCUGGGCAAAGCCUCCGGAAGCACAAUGGACGUUCCAGGAUGUUGGGACACCAGGCCCAGAGACUGUGUCCCGGAGAGCAGGAGAACAGAGAACCUGGGAUCCCCUGCUCCCCUCAAGAGACUUUUCUGGCUGCAAGCACCUGAAAUUUGCGUGGUCAUCGGUUGGAAACUCCCGCGUUCCCUCCAGGAGAGCUGAGACCGCCAAAUUCGGGCGAGGCGGGUCUUGUGAAAUAAUACACAUGCCAGAUCUUUUAGAAAAGCUUCAGCCGGACUUUAAAAAAAGUCUAGAUGAGUCGUGGAGACUCAGGUUUAAAACGAUUUGAGAAUUUAUCAGCUCCAGUCUCUUCCUUAUACAGCAGGAGCACUGAAGCCCAGAGGCCAACUGGCUUCCUAAGGUCCCAUUUAGAGGAACACAUUGACUUGACUGCUCAGAUGCCUUGACUCCCACCCGGUCCAGUGCUGUUUGUCGUUUCAUGCUUGUGUAGUGAAUGCAAAGACUGUCCCCCCUCCCCCUGCCCUUCGGGUCAUUUCAGGCUGCCCGGUGCAGUGGGAACAGAACGGCGAGGGAAAGAGUGUUCCCCUCU
rnacentral:lncRNA from 1 species